GAAACUUGACAUUUAUCUUCCGAACUUGACUGUUAUCUUCUCCUUAGAUACGACGUCAAUUUUUGUAAAAAGGUUCAACGUAAUCGUAUAGUUGAGGCGGCUAAGGUGUUAAGUUAACCGUUGCCGUUUUAUACGAUUAAUCUGAAUCCAUGCGAGAAAACAAGUCUUUGUGGUUUUUUUUUUUGUCGUAAAGUUUCAAUGGUAACUCCGACCGAAACAAGAGACGUUUCGAUCGAGAUUUGAAGGACAACACAAAGCUGGAGGUAAGGGCGAGUAGGAGAAAGCCAAGGAGUUUAAGAUGAGUUUUACUUGUUU
rnacentral:lncRNA from 1 species